AAUAAGUGUAGCUAUGGGUUUCAGUGACCAACUUUGACCAUCCGUUUUAUUUAAAAUAUUUUUAUGAUUAGCAUUUUUAUUGUUAUUAGAUGAUAAAAUAUGAUUAAUGCUUUAUACAUGACUUAACUUUUAAAAUUUUUUCAUAAUUUUUUUAAAUAAGAUGGACGGUCAAACGUUGGGCACGGAAACUUAUGGUUGUACUUAUA
rfam:Oryza meridionalis cultivar OR44 (W2112) chromosome 8, whole genome shotgun sequence.